UUGACCUCGGCCUCACGUAGGGAUACCCGCUGAACUUAA
rnacentral:rRNA from 1 species